AGGACAGAAGUGAUUGAGACAUGUUUCAGAGGAUGAGUUAGAGGACAGAAGUGAUGGAGACAUGUUUCAGAGGAAGAGUUAGAUUACAGAAGUGAUGGAGACAUGUUUCAGAGGACGAGUUAGUGGACAGAAGUGAUGGAGGCAUGUUUCAGAGGACGAGUUAGAGGACCGAAGUGAUGGAGACAUGUUUCAGAGGACGAGUUAGAGGACAGGAGUGAAGGAGACAUGUUUCAGAGGACGAGUUAGAGGACAGAAGUGAUGGA